rnacentral:rRNA from 1 species
GACGAGCGCUGGCGGCGUGCUUAACACAUGCAAGUCGAACGGGAAGUUCCGGCUUUGUGGGGGUGCUCGAGGUGCGAACUGGUGAGUAGCCCUUGAGUAACCUAUCAUUGACUGUGGGAUAACCUCAUGCAGCUUGGGCUAAUACCGGAUAAGAUCUCUUGCUUCAUGGUGGGGGUGGGUAGGUUUCGGCGGUUGGUGAUGGACUCGCGGCUUAUCAGCUUGUUGGUGGGGUAGUGGCUUACGAAGGCUUUGACGGGUAGCCGGACUGAGAGGGUGACCGGGCACAUCGGGACUGAGAUACGGCCCAGACCCAGACGGGAGGGAGAAGUGGGGAAUAUUGAAAUAGGGGCGGAAGCCUGAUGCAGAAACGCCGCGUGCGGGAUGACGGCCAUCGGGUUGUAAACCGAUUUCGCCUGUGACGAAGAGGGAGUGAAGGUAAUGGGUAAAGAAGCACCGGCUAACUACGUG